rnacentral:rRNA from 1 species
GAUUUUAGCCCUGCUAGUCGCACGAGUUCAGACUCGUGGCGAAUAGCUCAGUAACACGUGGCCAAACUACCCUUCGGAAUACAAUACCCUCGGGAAACUGAGGCUAAUAGUGUAUACCACAGUCCACCUGGAAUGAGGACUGUGCUAAAUGCUCCGGCGCCGAAGGAUGUGGCUGCGGCCGAUUAGGUAGACGGUGGGGUAACGGCCCACCGUGCCAAUAAUCGGUACGGGUCAUGAGAGUGAGAACCCGGAGACGGAAUCUGAGACAAGAUUCCGGGCCCUACGGGGCGCAGCAGGCGCUAAACCUUUACACUGCACGACAGUGCGAUAAGGGAAUCCCAAGUGCGUAGGCAUAGAGCCUACGCUUUUGUCCACCGUAGGGAGGUGGACGAAUAACGGCUGGGCAAGAUCGGUGCCAGCCGCC